rnacentral:rRNA from 1 species
UACGUAGGGUGCGAGCGUUAAUCGGAAUUACUGGGCGUAAAGCGUGCGCAGGCUGUUCUGUAAGUCAGAUGUGAAAUCCCCGAGCUCAACUUGGGAACUGCGUUUGAAACUACAGGACUAGAAUAUGUCAGAGGGGGGUAGAAUUCCACGUGUAGCAGUGAAAUGCGUAGAGAUGUGGAGGAAUACCAAUGGCGAAGGCAGCCCCCUGGGAUAACACUGACGCUCAUGCACGAAAGCGUGGGGAGCAAACAGG